UACGGAGGGUGCGAGCGUUGUCCGGAAUCACUGGGCGUAAAGGGCGCGUAGGUGGCGCGGAGAGUCAACGGUGAAAGCUCGGGGCUCAACCCCGAGUCGGCCGUCGAUACUUCCGGGCUGGAGCACUGUAGAGGCAGGUGGAAUUCCGGGUGUAGCGGUGGAAUGCGUAGAGAUCAGGAAGAACACCCGUGGCGAAGGCGGCUCUCUGGGACGGUACUGACGCUGAGACGCGAAAGCGUGGGGAGCGAACAGG
rnacentral:rRNA from 1 species